rnacentral:rRNA from 1 species
UACGGGGGGGGGCAAGCGUUGUUCGGAAUUACUGGGCGUAAAGGGUUCGUAGGUGGCCAACUAAGUCAGACGUGAAAUCCCUCAGCUUAACUGGGGAACUGCGUCUGAGACUGGAUGGCUUGAGUGCAGGAGAGGAACGCGGAAUUCCAGGUGUAGCGGUGAAAUGCGUAGAUAUCUGGAGGAACACCGGUGGCGAAGGCGGCGACCUGGACGGACACUGACGCUGAGACGCGAAAGCGUGGGGAGCAAACAGG